rnacentral:rRNA from 1 species
UCAGCCGGCCAUAGCGUGGGGGUCCGACCUGGACUCAUUCCGAACCCAGACGUCAAACCCCAUGUCGCUUGGGUGUUAGUGAGGUGCGAGAGCUCUCGCGAAGUCCAAGUGCUGGCACCC